rnacentral:rRNA from 1 species
GAUGAACGCUGGCGGCGUGCCUAAUACAUGCAAGUCGAGCGAACGGACGAGAAGCUUACUUCUCUGAUGUUAGCGGCGGACGGGUGAGUAACACGUGGAUAACCUACCUAUAAGACUGGGAUAACUUCGGGAAACCGGAGCUAAUACCGGAUAAUAUUUUGAACCGCAUGGUUCAAAAGUGAAAGACGGUCUUGCUGUCACUUAUAGAUGGAUCCGCGCUGCAUUAGCUAGUUGGUAAGGUAACGGCUUACCAAGGCAACGAUGCAUAGCCGACCUGAGAGGGUGAUCGGCCACCCUGGAACUGAGACACGGUCCAGACUCCUGCGGGAGGCAGCAGUAGGGAAUCUUCCGCAAUGGGCGAAAGCCUGACGGAGCAACGCCGCGUGAGUGAUGAAGGUCUUCGGAUCGUAAAACUCUGUUAUUAGGGAAGAACAUAUGUGUAAGUAACUGUGCACAUCUUGACGUUACCUAAUCAGAAAGCCACGGCUAACUACGUG